AGGAGAUCAGCAGAAGAAUAUUAGACCUCACCUUGGAGAUCAUCUCCCUGCUGAGCGGAGAGGAUUACACCAUAGUAAAGAAGACAUCGGAGGAAACUCCCAUCAUCCAUGAGUCAGGAGGGUGGAGCAGGACCCCCAUCACAGAGCCUCCCCCCCUGAUAAAUGAGCAGAAGAUCCUAGAACUCACCCACAAGAUGAUGGAGCUGCUGACUGGAGAGGUUCCUGUAAGGUGUCAGGAUGUGGUGGUCUAUUUCUCCAUGGAGGAGUGGGAGUACAUAGAAGGACACAAGGAACUGUACAAGGAGGCCAUGAUAGAGGCUCCCCGACCUCUGACAUCACCAGAUGGAUCCAGGAGGAGAAAUCCCCCCGAGAGAUGUCCCAAUCCUCUGUAUUCCCAG